rnacentral:rRNA from 1 species
CAAUAGCGUAUAUUAAAGUUGUUGCAGUUAAAAAGCUCGUAGUUGGAUUUGUGGUGUACGCCGGCGGCCCGUCGCAAGACGGAGCUUGCUUGCGUCGCCAUCCUUGGGUGGAUCCUGUGUGGCAUUCAGUUGUCGUGCAGGGGAUGCCCAUCGUUUACUGUGAAAAAAUUAGAGUGUUCAAAGCAGGCUUAUGCCGUUGAAUAUAUUAGCAUGGAAUAAUAAGAUAGGACCUUGGUACUAUUUUGUUGGUUUGCGCACCAAGGUAAUGAUUAAUAGGGACAGUUGGGGGUAUUCGUAUUCCAUUGUCAGAGGUGAAAUUCUUGGAUUUUUGGAAGACGAACUACUGCGAAAGCAUUUACCAAGGAUGUUUUCAUUA